GGGGAAGACAUGGUUUCGACGGGAGUGGCGAACCCUGAGGUGCAUGCCGAGGUUCAGAUCACCUCGUUAAACCAUCUGAAAAACAAUAGUUGCCAACGACGACAACUACGCACUGGCUGCCUGAUUAGUCCAAUACGACUUUUCUGUCAGUUCUACCCUGUCAGUGGUAUGCCUGUGGGCUGCUGCGGGGGCACAUGACACAGGAUCGCGUGAAGGGCCGCCCUUGCACCUGAUCGUUAAACCAACAAUGGGCUCGCUGGCGGUUACCCUGUUCGUCGGGUAGCAACCGGCCAAAGCCAAAGACGAAACUAAGCAUGUAGUACCAAAGGCGGAGUGCUUUCGGACGGGGGUUCGACUCCCCCCUUCUCCACCA
rnacentral:tmRNA from 1 species